rnacentral:rRNA from 1 species
CACGUAGGGGCCAAGCGUUGUCCGGAUUUAUUGGGCGUAAAGAGCUCGUAGGCGGUUGGGUAAGUCGGGUGUGAAAACUCCAGCUCAACUUGGAGACGCCACCCGAUACUGCUCUGACUUGAGUUUCGGUAGGGGGAGUGGGGGAAUUCCUUGGGUGUAGCGGUGAAAAUGCGCAGAUAUCAGGGAGGAACACCCGGUGGCGAAAGGCGCCACUCUGGGGCCCGAAAACUGACGCUGAGGGAGCGAAAAGCGUGGGGUAGCAAAACAGG